CUCGUCACGUCUUUCUCUCUUUGAAGGUGUCAGUUUGUGUUGUGAUUGUGGUGAUGUGUGUAUGUAUGAAUGUGUGUUGUCAGUUGCCUUCAGUGAAACUGCUACUAAUCUGUGCGGAAAACUCAUUUUUGGAUAGUUUGGAUAUUUAAACACUAACCUUCGAGGGCCGGAGAGGAUGGCCAGAUCCGACCAGUGGUAGACCAGCUAGCAGCGGUGUGCAGCCCGUAGGGACCCCGCCGCCGCCACCCGCAUCCGCGCGCCAUGCCGUGAGGACGACUACCAUCCACUAUUCCCUUUCAUAGGUGAGCAGGGUGGUGAACUGACCAACGUCAGCCAUGGAGCCCCGCAAGCAGCCGGUGUCGCCCGAGGUUGCGCUCGCCUCGGAAGUCUUCGACAAGCUGUGCUCUUCAACCACCCUUAAGACCAUCCUCGGCCAUCACCGCCACCUGUGUGACCUGCUGCACCUCAAGCCGGGACCCUUCCCACAGUUCUACCUCAAACUGAAGUCAAAACUUCGCUCAUGGAAGGCUCAGCCCCUAUGGAACAAAUUUGAUAAACGUGGAAGUCAUAAAUGUUAUAACAGAGGAAAGGCUUGUCCAAACACCCGGGUACUGAUAAUAGGUGCCGGACCCUGUGGUUUACGAGCUGCUAUAGAAGCCCAGCUUUUGGGCUGCAAAGUAGUUCUAAUUGAGAAGAGAGAUAGGAUAUCAAGAAAUAAUGUUUUGCACUUAUGGCCCUUUGUAAUUCAGGAUCUAAGAGCGUUAGGCGCAAAGAAAUUUUUUGGAAAAUUUUGUGCUGGUUCUAUUGAUCAUAUAAGUAUUCGGCAACUUCAAUGUAUUUUACUGAAGGUUGCACUUAUAUUAGGUGUUGAAUUUCAUGAGGGGGUUGGCUUUGAAGCCUUAGUGCCACCUCCAGAGGAUCAGACAGAAAGGAUUGGCUGGAGAUGCAUCACCAGCCCAGCUGAUCACCCUGUUUCUCAAUAUGAGUUUGAUGUCCUCAUUGGGGCUGAUGGCAAACGCAACACUUUAGAGGGAUUCAAGAGAAAAGAAUUUCGGGGGAAAUUAGCCAUAGCAAUCACAGCGAACUUUAUUAACCGAAAAUCUGAAGCAGAAGCUAGAGUGGAAGAAAUAUCAGGAGUGGCAUUUAUUUUCAAUCAGAAAUUUUUUAAAGAUUUAUAUGCUGCCACUGGUAUUGAUCUGGAAAACAUAGUUUACUACAAGGACGAAACACACUAUUUUGUGAUGACUGCCAAAAAACAUAGUCUGCUGAACAAGAAUGUUAUUCUCCAGGAUUACCCAGAUACAGCCAAGUUACUGGAUCCUGAAAAUGUGGAUAAGGAAGCCCUCAUGGAGUAUGCUAGGGAAGCUGCUGACUUUUCUACAAAUUAUAAAUUGCCACACACAGAAUUUGCAGUAAAUCAUUACGGACAACCAGAUGUUGCAAUGUUCGAUUUCACAUCAAUGUAUGCUGCUGAGAAUGCUAGCCGUGUAAUUGAGAGAAGAGGUCAUAAACUCUUAACUAUGCUAGUUGGUGAUAGUCUUUUAGAGCCAUUUUGGCCUACUGGAUCAGGAUGUGCUCGUGGUUUUCUCAGUGUCCUGGAUGCCUGCUGGGCUAUCAGAGCAUGGGGAAGUGGACAAUAUUCUUCAUUAGAAGUUUUAGCCGAACGAGAAUCUAUCUACCGGUUGCUUGGUCAAACUACUCCUGAAAAUCUAAAUCGAGAUCUAAAUGCGUACACCUUAGAACCUCAGACCCGUUAUCCAAACUUAAAUUUUCGUGCUGUCACAUCAAUGCAAGUAAGGGGUCUGUAUGAUACAGAUGAUGUCGCUGGACUAGAAGCAAUGCUUCUGAAUCCAGGACCAACCAAUGCACUAGAAAUGCCUAAAAAGAGGAGGCGCAAGGAUUCCCAAGUUCACCCUGACACUUUACUGCAUUGGCUUAAAAAGCAAGUAGCUCUGUAUGACAGUAUUCACAUUCUGGAUAUGACAUCAUCUUUUAAAAAUGGCUUGGCAUUGUGUGCAAUUAUUCAUCGAUAUCGUCCAGACUUGAUUGAUUUCCAUUCCCUCAAGCCUGAUGAUAUUGUAGCAAAUAAUCAACUUGCAUUUGACACCCUUGAAAGAGAGUUAGGAAUCCCACCAAUGAUGACUGCUCAAGAAAUGGAGGAAUGUGAUGUACCUGACAAACUAGCAAUGCUAUCUUAUUUGUCCCAAAUAUAUGACACAUUCCGUGGUGAAAUCCCUCACAUUAAACAUCCCAAGCUGGAUGAAAUGGAAGACAAGAAAGACAAAACCACUGAUGCUCUUCUGGCAAGCCGUAAGAGAGAUCUCAGCAAACUCACUCCACAACAGACUGUUAGUUUGCUUAGUCGGAUAACAAACCAUCGUCAGUCGGCUGGACGGAAGAAGUACGGCAGUGAAAGAGUUGACCGCGAUGGAACACCAUCGUCCAUCAUUAGCAACCCUGAAAAAGACAGGAGGCAUUCAAAUGACGUCUCAAGGAGAAAUCGAAAGAGGAGAAGCGGUGCUUCUGAUCGGGCUGCAUUAACCUUGGAAGAGCAAAUAGCACGCAGGUGUCCCCGUAACUGGGAAGUGGAAGGCCUCAGUUUGGAGGAGCAGAUGUCUCGAAUUCAGGAACGCAUCAACCGCCUUGAAGAAAUCAAACAAAAUCGAAUUGAGCGACAAAAACGCAGCAAGUAUAUGCAAAUGCUUACAAGGCAGCAGUUCUACAAAAGUAUCCAGAUGCUGCAGGCCAAUGCACCCCGUUCUGAUGAUGAUGAGUCUCCCUUUGAAGAUUACUCGCUCUUUAUGUACCGCAUGACUGCCCCUGAUUUUCAGGAUAGAGUCAAAGAUUUGGAGCAGAAACUGUUAUAUCCUGAUCGUGAAUCCCGCCUACAGGAAGAAAUGAAACGUGGAACAGUUGAUCCGGAGUUUUCUGGAAGAAUAAAGCAUAUUGAAGAUAAAUUACGCCGAGUCCCAGUAACAGAAAAGAAACCAAAGGAUCUCAAUAGAGCAAUUGGCAAAAUUGAAAAAACAGAUUGGAAUGUUAAAGAAAUUGAAAAGAAAAUUGCUGAGAAUAAAACAACAGGAAGAAGUCCUCGUCAAAGAGCAGAAAAGGUGCCAAAAUGGAGCAGACAACAAUUUGAUGAUAAGUUCACAGCAAUGGAGAAGAAACUUCGAGUCAAAGGAUUUGAUCAAGAAACAGCUAGCAAAUAUGCAGAAAUUGACAUAAGCUUGAAGCAGCUUGAAAAGAAAAUUAAAGAAGGAGGUGCUUUGGAAGCAGGGAAAGUUUCUGCAAUGGCUGCCCAAUUAGCUAACAAAAAUCAGCAGGAGGCAGAAAAAGUCACUAUUCAGCGCUCUAAUUCAAGACCUGCACUGGUCUUACCGGCCCAAGGAGGCUCUGAAAUGUGUCACUUCUGCAAUAAACGGGUUUACCUAAUGGAAAGGUUAAGUGCUGAGGGAAGAUUUUUCCAUCGUGGUUGUUUCCGUUGUGAAUACUGCAGCACAACUCUGCGUCUUGGUAGCUAUGCAUUUGACCGUGAUGGUAAAUUUGGAAGCAGGUUCUUCUGCACACAUCAUUUUGGGAUGCAUGGCACUCAGAAGAUGAAGACUGCUCGCAAGAGUGAAGAACUAAGAAACAUUCUUGGCAAAGAAAACAUACCUCGUCAGCUCACAAUUGCCAAAACUCCUGACAAGAGCAAAUAUGUUGUUGGUGGUGUUGAUACUGCUGAUAGUCAAGAUCAGAAAGCUCUUAGCACACCUCAACCGAAACCUUUGGAUAUAGACAUUGAUCUAGAUCGUGGACAGACCCCAGAGCGCAUUACUUUCUCUAAUUUGGCUGGAGCUGCAGGCUCAUCGGACCAAGAAGAUCAUCCAAGUGAAAUGGAUGAAGAUGAAUGGACUGACCGUAAUUUUGGUGCCUCUGCUGCAGAGUGUGAUUCCAGUGAUGACUUGUCUGACCUGAGUGAUGAAGAUGACGAUGGUGCAGAAGCCUUUGCAGAAGCAAUAGAUGUGCCUCUUACCGCUGAUGAAACUCUUCGCCUUGCUGAGAAUUGGACAAGGCGUUAUAGUACAGAUGGAACUCGACAAAAUGGUGCUAAUGAUAAAGACAGAGUUGCAUUAGGAUCUGCUGGUGAUGAGGAUGAAGAGCCAGAAAGUGGAAGCUAUGAGUAUGAAGAUGGGAGUGAUGACUUUAGCUAUCAGGAGUAUGAUAGUGAAGAUGAUGAUAGUGACACCGCUACCGAAGGAGAAGAAGAAAUUAGACAACGUGAACUCCGUAAACAGGAAGUCCGUCUUGAAGUGCCAGACUGUCUUCCAGGAAGAAACGAUACUGACACAGGAUCGGAUACUGAGGUUGCAUCUGAAGAAACUUCUUCUGAAUCAGAAAGUGUGGAAAAUUCUGCCACCGAAAUAGAAACUGAUUCUGAAUUUGAGCAUGAUGGAACAACUCCCACUAGGCAUGAAAUUCCAGAUAUAAUUAUUAGUGAUCAUCUCACCCAAGAUAUUGAGGAGCCUAAAAAGGUCCAGAUUCGAAGUGGCAAUGUGAUAAAUGGUAAUGUUACCAAAGAACCAUCUGGGAUCAAGCUUCAGUUCUCUCCACUACAAAACAAAGUUGAAUCAAAUAACAAUGCAAUCACAAAUAACCCGGUGAAUCAACCAACCCCUGUGAGACCAUCACCUCUGAUGAAUCCUCGACGGGGUGAUUACCUAUUGAACCGAACCCAAUCAACUGGUGGCAUAGCUUCUAAACUUUCGCUAGAGUUAAAGAAACGUUAUCUUUUAGGGGGAGAUGGAGCUGGUUCUGUCAAAAAGUCUGGAUCGGCUACAACAUUAGAUACCAAAUUCAAAAGUUUUGUUGAUCAAAUAUCAGAACACCAGAAGCUCCUAAACCCUACUCCUUCAGAACCUAGUCCUACUAUGCAAGCUUUCCUUCAGAGCACCUCCAAACUUCAUACUUCUCCUAAACCAUCAUUACCUUCCUCUACCACUUCAAGCAUAACGGCCUCAACUGUUGCCACUUAUGGGAAAAAGGAGUUACCACCUGUCCCAGGUAUAUUUCCUCAUGUUUGUGGCCAAUCAUCUUUGGAUAAAUCAUCAUCACUCAAGUUAGAUAAGAGUAUUCCUGAUGUUGCAGCAGUUUCAUUGCCUGGACACAAAGAACUGCCUGCUGAUAAUGUUUUUGAACAUGUAUGCGGGAAAACAUCUGAAUCCCUUAGGGUCGCAAACUGCCGAACCUCAAUAAAAAGAAAUGAACCAGAAGAGCCUCUUGACAGUUUACAACCUGACUCUCUCAUCAACCAACCGUCCGGCGAUGAAGAAACCAAAGAGAAUCCAGACAGGCCGACAGACAGUAGACCGCGUAGUCCAGUGCAUGAAACCUCAAUUAUUGUUCCAUCCAUAGCAUGGCAAGAUGUAAAUAAGAGCCGGAAGGAAGAUAUGGAUAGUGACUCACUCUCAUCAGAAGUCAGCUUAGCAGAUGAGGAAAAUGAACAAGAAGACUGUAAGGAUCAGAGAAGAGAGCCAGAAUCCCCCAAACUUCCUCCUAGAGUGGAAGUGCACAACUCAAAGGGUGAAGUGCUUCAAGGAGAUGCUGUGCAACGAUCAACUCCAAAGCCUCCUCUUGACCUGCCUCUUAGUUCGGUGCUUGGUUUAACCUUAGGCAGACAAACAGGAAGUGGGAGGAGUAGCCCUGUUUCUCCUGUUUCUCUACAGGCAGACCUGGGCCAUGCACCCCUAACCGAAACAGAAUUGUCAGACUGGGCCCAUGAUGCCAACCCGGGAGUGUCGGAAGAUCUUGAAGAUGUUGAAUUUAAUAUUAAUCCAGAAUUUGUGACCCUGCGCCGUAACAAGAAGCCGAAGGGUGCUCGGAAAGCCCAACGAAGUGAAAAUGUCCAGGCUGCUAAAAUAGCCACUGGUGAGGAUUUGGAAGACUUUGAUAAUGAAAGAAGCUCCAGCUCUGGUCAUGUUCCUGUGGUCCCUCGAUUACAUGCCAUGGCUUCUGAAGAAAAUCUUGAGUUUAUGGAUACUGGAGAAGAAGGAAGUAGCACCGAUGAUCAAAUUAAUGGAACAAAGCAAAAGCUCCGCAAUCAGGGAUAUGCACAAUUUGUAAAUCUUGAAGAUACAUCACCAUGUGCCAUAAACAAAGAAUUGCUUCGUUUGCCUAGUGGUAAUGGCUACAUUCCCUUGAAUGACGAUGCAGAUGAUGAAGAUGUUGCUACUCCUGUUGUCGAGACAUGUUCAUCUAUACCACCUGUCGCAAGUACCUCAUCCCCAGAAAAUACGAGCAGUACUAGUUCAAGCUCAGAUUCUAAAAGUAUUUUGGACCAAAAUAAAGGAUCUUCAUCCACAGUUGAGCUAGUUGAUGAAGACAAUUCCUGCCAUGUGGAGCCCUCAACUGAGGACACUACAACAACCAGUGACAUGAUAACUAUUGUAGAUACCCCUUUAAACCCCCCACCUGCUGUCCUUAAAGGCUCUGAUGAAGUAGAACAGAAAGCCUAUGCAGAAUGUGUUAAGCGAUUGCAAGGUAGAGUUUCCCCCUUCAGUAAUGCCCGUGAUUCAAUUGAUAUUAGAAAAUCAAGAAGAUCAAAUAAAUCCUCUCCAGAGUUGAUGUCACCUGUUGAAGUGAAGGCUACCACUGACGUGACCCUCGCUACAGAACCUGAUACUUCAACAACCCCAACUUAUGCAAGCGGCUCAUUGAAAUCACCUACAACAUCUAGAAAACUUCAGCAACUCUCCCAAGAACGAUCAAAACAGAAAAGCCUUAUUCAUGACAUGGUAAUGGACAAACUGCUGGCUCAAAAAAAAUCACCUCAAGAGCGAAAAGCUCGCAAGGGUAUAAGAAGUUCUGCAAGUCCUCUCAGUGGGUCAAGUUCAAUCAGCUGCAUACCAAACCUAGGCAAUGUGGAAUCAGAAAGUAUUAAGAAUUCACCUCCACCUCCUCCAUCAGUUUCGGCACAUAAGUCUUCCAAUUAUAAGUCUGAGGAUAUGAGCAAGCGUCACAGCGACAAUGAUAUUCUUGAUGAGAGUAAGACUGAUGAUAAAGAGAAAUUUUUCACUCCCAUGCUGACUGUAAAAAAGCGCACAUUAUCAACACCUGAUGAUCGUGAGGAAUAUCUGACACCACUCACUUCUAUGAAAAAACGUGCCAUGUCGGAAACUCGAGCUCGUCCUUUUUCAGUUCAUGGAGUUGACCAAAUAAGAGAGGUGGCUGAAAAGGCAAGAGAUACGGCAGCCCUACCUGACACUCCACUAACUAACCCUGAAGCUUUCUCAUUGCCAGAUAUCCGUAAGGCCUUGUUCACUUCCCCUGAUGAAGUUUUCAAAACUCCCAUUGCACCUCCAAGGCCAAAACAUGAGGAGUCGAAGAGAACUGCUGAAAGAGAAAGAGCUCGGAGAGAAGCAAGAGCAAGAGCAAGAUUGAAGUCUGAUGAAGAACUUGGUUUGAGCCCUGAAGACUACAUCAAAGCCUUGAAGGAUAAGGCUAGUCGCAGACUGGAUUCCAGUGCUGAGAGAGCUCAUACAAAUUAUGUGCCUGAUGGCAGCUGCAAUUCGUCGUCUUCUUCACAGCAAAAGUUGGGUGGUGGAGAUGGAGUUACUCUACGUCCACAACCAAAAUCGAAAGACUCAGAAAGGAGGAAGAGUAUCAUUCAGGCAGUAUCUGACUUCUUCCACAAAAAGACCAGCUCAAGUGGUAGUCCGUCCAGCCCAUCCCCCCCAAGCACUAGCCACAACACCCCCGAAAAGGAAAGAGAUCGAGACCACAUAAAAUUCCCUCGAUUUCGGCUUGCCCAGAAGUCUAAAGACAAAGAAAAAGCAAAGCUGGACCAUGAUGGAGCUAAUGACUAUUCUUUUGAUUUUGAACAGCAGGUGCAGCAUGCUCGGACAUCAGAAAAAGAAGCUCUCAUCAACAGGGGAAUGGGGUUCAGUACUGCUGCAGCAGUGUCAUCUGCAGCAACUGCCAUGGCCCCGGUUGUUGGUCCACCUCCGGUACCCCCACCGCCGUCAGCCUACAUUGCACAAACCUCAGGCACCAAAUGGCAUGUCGAUGCUUGUGUAGAUGACAGCCAGUCAGAGUUAGAGGACUUGGAUGACUCUCGCGCUACAGGCAUGUCAACACCCACCCAAGGUUCAAUCUCUAUUGAUGGUUCCACAUCAAAGAAACAGACUCGCCUUAGCAAACGUGUUUCUCGUCAAGCACAGAUGAAAAGGCUUCGCAUGGCUCAAGAGAUACAGCGCCAGUUGGAAGAAUUGGAGGUAAAACAGAAAGUGUUAGAACAACAGGGUGUUGGUGUUGAAAAAUCAUUAAGAGGCGAAGGCAAUGAGAAUGGCCGCGAGGAGGUCGAUUUACUGCACGAGUGGUUUAAUCUUAUGCGUGAACGGUCUGAACUUCGUCGAUAUGAAAGAGAGUUGAUAGUCAGAGCUCAAGAAUUGGAGCUUGAGGACAGACAUGCUCGUCUCCAACUGGAAUUAAGAGAUCGUCUUGCUAAAGAUGAUGCUAGCAAGACAGGUGAUGAUGUUGCUACUGAAGGACGUAUAUUGAGUGAAAUGCUUGAAAUUGUUGAAAGGCGAGAUUCCCUCAUUGCCCGUCUUGAAGCUGAUCGACAAAGGUGCGGAUGGAUGGUCCAAAUGUCAAGUGUGUGCAGGCACAGACCAUGGAAACCACAUUGCUUCUUUGUCCUUCUACUGUGGCUGGUUCAGCUUGCAGUAGCAUGGACACUUUCCUAUGUUGUAGUUGGCCUAUUUCUUCCUGAUUCAAACCCCUAGCAUGUGCUUGUAAAACAUGGUUUUCUUAUGAGGUGAUGGAUUUGAUUAGUCUGAAUUUUCUCCACAAUUAUUGCAUGAGUUUUGUUACUGCAUGAUUAUACACUAGAAGGUCAAAUUAAAGCUUUUUAGUCAUUAUUUACACUCCAUAUAUCAACAUUUAACAUUUUGUAUUUCACCUCAAACAUUGCUGCUGGUUCACACCACUGAGCAUUUCUCCAUCUUAUGGAAAAUGCUGGUAAAUUUUAUGGAUUGUGCUUGAAAAUAUUCAAUUUUUGAUAUUCCUGCUGUUGACUUUGCUUGUUGGCAUUGCAUUUUUCUCCCAAAUUCAUUAUUUUGAAAAGUAUUAGUAAGUGCAUUGUAAAAUGAAAAAUCAUUUUCAUUAACACAACUGUCCCAAAUAUUAUAUUUUGUGCGGGCGGAGGGUUAUAUGUGUUUACUAACAUUCCAAUCCAUACCUUAGUCAACUGCAACUAGGUUAGUGUAAUUGGCAAAUUAUCCAAUAUGAUUAGCUUGCAUGGAAUACGCACCAUGCUUAGGCUUGUGUUCUUUAUUUGCCAUCUAAACACUCAAUGCCCAUUUCCCUCUUGCUCAUCUGAACUUUUUCACUCAACAAUUUAAUCAGGUAUCAAGAGGAGGACAAGGAUUUGGAGGCUCAAAUGUUGGCAAAGGGUCUACGGUUGACACCUCUCAGGAAAGAGUCCCAUGUUUAGAGAGAUGAGCAAGUCAUACUGUCAGUAACAUAAGAUUCGAUUUUGUAGUAGUUAGAUUAUUAUUUGAAAUGAGUCUACUAGUGGAUGUUUCAUUGGUUUUAAAUUUUUAUCUUUAACUUAUGUUGUUUAACUAUUUGUUUAAGUGUUUGCUCACAAUUGAAACAAAGCUAUUCUAAGAAAAUCAUAGCUUGUACUAUUUGACAUCCGUCAUUAGUUUAUUUAUCAAAUAAUUAUUAAUAUCUAUUUCCCAAUUUCUUGUGAAGUCUUGUGAUUUGAGUUCAAUAAUUUCUCAAGUGAUAUCUACUGCUAUUUGUUAUGAUUUUAGUCUUUUUGUUUGUUUUUGCAUACAUAGUUUUUUAUUAUGUCAAUGAUUCUUUAUCAACAUAGUCUGAUUAACUAUUUGAUUCUUGUUUGCCUAUGAUAAUGUUUGGUUUUGAGGCAGAUUAUUAUUGUACGGAUGGUCACACAUGUAAUGUGUUCAAUAGGUCAGUUUUGUUUGCUUGCCUUUCAUCAUGACCAUGACCAUAGACAGUAGUACUGUACUUACAUUGCUUGAACCCCCAUGAAUUAACUGUUUCCAGGAUGUACGGUACCUGCAUGGAAGAUGAUUUUGAAGAUUCUACCUACCAAAUUUGUCAAUCUUUUAGCUUUCUCUCCUCUUGAGAAACAGAAACUUACUUUGAUGUGUGUUCUAAUUCCCCUAAAUGCAGACAGUAUCAUCUGUAAAUAUUACAGCAACCUGUGAUCUGCUUUGCCUGAUAGUGCACAUUCAUGAAUUUUGUGCAUGAUGUAUGUAUGUUUUUAAUUAAGAACUCAUUUUAAGUUAAUCCUUUUGUGAUUUAUUCAUAGUUAGUUCAAGGAAAUGUUCAAGUUGAGGUGUGGAACAUUUUGAAAGAUUUUAAAAGAAGUUUUUAACAUUUUGUGUUUUAAAGCUAUUGCUGUGUGAUACCAGAUUACCAGAUGCUUCUAAAAGAGGGUCCAAUGUCAAGUAGGCCAUGGUCCCAACAGUAAUUGGUACAGUUGCAAAGGAAAGGUUUAAACUUGUCACCAAUGAUAUGAAAUAAGCAGUUUAUUUUUCCAUCGCCUAUUACUUAUCUUAGGAGAAAAAUGUGUACAUACAACAGGUCUGCAAAAUGAUAUUUGUUGCCAAAAUAUCAAGAUAUUUAUCUAUGUAGAUUUUAAUAUUUGUGUUACAGACUAAAAAGGAUUUAAUGAUAGUCCUUUCAAUGUCCCCAAACUUAAUAGUCAAAGUACUGAUUUCAUUAAGCUCUUUAGAUUUAUUUCUGGUUCUGUGUAUCUGAACUAAGAUGCUAUUUUUACUCCUGUCCAAAGAACAAAGUUCGUUGCAUAUUUUGACAUACUAUUAGGCGCUAUUUUUAAAUUUAUUCCUAAGAAGAAAUGUGUGUGUGUGGAAUGGAUAACAAUCAUACAAGCUUCUAAAUAUUGUGAUAACACAUGCUUGUUAUAGUGCAUAAAAAUUACCGAUCCUAUAGUAAUAUUUUGUCAUAAGCCAAAUUACAAUUUGUGUACUCUUCUAAAUCAUUGUAUCUCUGUAUUCAACACCAUUCUAAAUUUUUCGCAAGAAAAGUGUUUGUAUUUUUAUGUGGACAGAGCAAAAGUUUGUUAGACCUUGUAAAUGUAUGCUCAAAAAAAAUCAGACAUACCUCUGCAUUCAACAUUGCCUUGAUAUGUGAAAUAUUGUUUGCAAUAAAGAGAUAAACACGGAUGUGACAGAAAGGUCACCAAAGUAAA